rnacentral:rRNA from 1 species
GCGCAGCAGUCGAGAAUCCUCCGCAAUACACGAAAGUGUGACGGGGCCAUCCCGAGUGCCGUCCGCUGAGGACGGCUUUUCCCCAGUGUACAUAGCUGGGGGAAUAAGGAGAGGGCAAGCCUGGUGUCAGCCGCCGCGGUAAUACCAGCUCUCCGAGUGGUGGGGACGCUUAUUGGGCCUAAAGCAUCCGUAGCCGGCUGGGCAAGUCCUCCGUUAAAUCCAACGAUUCAAUCGUUGGGCUGCGGGGGAUACUGUCCAGCGUUGGGGGCGGGAGGACGGCCGGACGGUACGUUCCCCGGGGGUAGGGGUAGAAAAUCCUAUAACGUCCCGGGAGGACCACCAGUGG